CUCCCCACAAUUCUUAGACAGUGACCAGUGUCCCACACACUGGCUCCUCCACUCACUCAAGCUUAUGACAAAGACAGAAUGCCUUAAUGUCCAGGCAGCCAAGCACACCUCUUAGCCAAUGCUGUGGCUAUUACAAUGGAUCUGAGAUGAAUAAUAAUAAUUUGGGGACAUCCCAAAGUAACAAAAGAUAGUAGAAUUAUUGCAAAGACAAUUGAUUUAAAGGAUAAAUAUAAGAAUAUUAAAUUUGUUCAAGAUGUACCAGUAACACAAAUGAAGAGGGUGUGGAAGGUCCCAGCAUUGCUGUUUGGGCAUGCUCUAGUACUAAAGGCGGCUUUCAGAAGAUCAGGGAAGGGGCUAAUCCUAUGAAAAUCAAAGAUGUCAUGCUGCCUAUUGAUGUUAUUAAUUGCUGAUCUUUAAAAGCAAUAUAAACCUAUAACAACCAGGGAAGAGAUGUCUUACAUUGCUACAAUUUCUACAAAUAGAAGCAAAAAAGUUGGAAACUUCAUUUGGAUUCAGUGACAAAGGUCUAGAAGAAAGUAUUAUCACAGUAAAGGAUGGAAAAAACAUUGAACAGGGAACUGUAUUGAAGACAGAACAUUUGAUUGAGAUAUAUUUUCCAAUGUGUUAUUACUACGUCCAAAGGAUGAAAAUGUAAUUUCCAAGAUGCAGAUGUUUUUAUUGAGUGAGAAAAAAAUUCUAGUGUCCAGUCUGUUGUACCUACUUUUGAAAUUUCUUUGGUUGUAAUCACUGAAAAUGUUGGAGAAAUUGUAAAUAUACUAUUUUUGAAUGGGAUAAAAGUUGAUUUUCAAGUUGUAACAAUCAAAACUCCAGGAAAAGUUGUAAAUAUUGCUAUUGGUAAUUCAGUGUUUAGAGAAGAGGGGCUGAAACUAAAUCUUGAACAUAUGACAAAGUUCAAAUUGAAAAGCUAAAUGAAUGAGCUGCUAAACUAGCUGAUGGAGUAGCUGUGCCGAGUCUUGGAGGACAAGUGAUGUUGGAGUAAAUGACAAGUUACAGAUGCUCACAGUCUUACAAGAGCAGCUGUAGAAGGUGGCCCUGUUUAAGGCUUCAGGAGAGCUCUGUUUGGACUCCUUAAAGUAUCCUAGUAUAGAUUAGAACAUUGGUAGAAAUUAAAAGAACACUUAAAAUUCCUGUAAUGACUAUCUCUAAGAACAUAGGUAUUGAAGGAUCUGUGAAAUUUGAGAAAAUUUUGUGACACUGCUUAGAAGUCAGUUAUGAUGUUAUGCUUGGAGAUUUGUGAACAUGGUAGAAAAAGCAAUCACUGCUCUAACAAACGUUGAGAGAACUGCUUUACUAAAUCCCGCUGAGGCAGUUUCUCUGUUAACUACAGCAGAUGCUGUA
rnacentral:lncRNA from 1 species